rnacentral:rRNA from 2 species
CCGUCGCUACUACCGAUUGAAUGGUUUAGCAAGGUCAUCGGAUUGGUGUCACUGUGGUUGCUUGUCAGCCUUGUUGACACUGAAAAGACGACCGAGCUUGAUCAUUUAGAGGAAGUAAAAGUCGUAACAAGGUUUCCGUAGGUGAACCUGCGGAAGGAUCAU